GAAAUGCGAUAAGUAUUGCGAAUUGCAGAAUUCAGUGAGUCAUCGAAUUUUUGAACGCACAUUGCGCCCUUCGGUAUUCCGAAGGGCAUGCCUGUUCGAGCGUCAUUAUCAACCCUCAAGCUUGGCUUGUCGUUGGACCUCGUCGUCGAAGACGGGUUCGAAAGAUAAUGACAGCGUCGUGUUCGACCCUAGAUGCAAUGAGCUUUCUAGCACGCAUGGUAGCGGUCGGCCGGCCUGGUCGUAAUCAUUUAUUUCUGAAGGUUGACCUCGGAUCAGGUAGGAAUACCCGCUGAACUUAA
rnacentral:misc_RNA from 1 species